rnacentral:misc_RNA from 1 species
UUUUUUUUUUUUUUUUUUUUUUGGUUCAGGCAUUUAAUUACAAAAAAGAACAAAAAAUUUAUUUAACAAUACAAAUAUCACUAAAAAUCUUAAAUUACACACUUAAAUAUUACAAAAUGUGAUGUCUUACAUUAGGUACAAAAAUCUCGUGGUAACGCUAAUCUAUUACGGGAAUACCAUCACAGCCUAUAGUCGUUAUUAUUACAACAACCUCAUCGUUUCAGAGAAGUUUUAAAAAAUUUAUUAUAUAGUAAAAAAAUCGUAUUUAAUAUAAUUGUAAAAAAAAUUAUAAUCAUUAUAAGGGUUUAUUAUUAUUUUUAUUUGAGGCGUUUAUUUAUUUAUUUCAUAAGUAAAUUUUGAGCCUGUCUCCUUUUGAAGAUUCAAAACGAUAUAUCAUGUGACAAUUUUGGUAUUCUGCUAAUUCGAUGGUGUCAUAAUGUAAUCAUGGGAAAAAAUUGAUCUAGAUUACCAACACAAUUGUAACCUAGUGAACACAUAACAUCAAUUUACGUAAAUGUGACAUAAAUAUAGGUACAUAAGUACAUAUUAAAGAAAAAAAAAAAAAAACAAAAUCAGCAGCGUAGCGAGAGGCGUAGCCAUUGGUCUGUAAAACAAAAAAUUGCGGUUUUCGAACGAGGAGGGCGCUAAAAAGGUGUUGUGCCCCGGGCGCGAAUUAAUCUCGCUACGUCACUGUAUAAAAUAAAGUUGUGACAGGAGUAUUGAGAUUAUAGAUAGUAGAGUAAAAAUGAAUGACAAAACGAAUAGUUUUAUGAUUAUAGGAACUGAGCUUUAAUAGAUAGAGCACCGCAAAAGUGUUUAAUUUUAAUUUACUUCUUUGCGCCUAACAUUGAAGUGAAGUGUCGUAGCUACAUAAUUACGAGAAUAAAUAUUGGCUUCAGCCUAUUCAAGUCCACUGCUGGACGGAAUUAAGCGUCCUCAAGUUCACGCCAAACAAUUAUGAAAGAAAUAUUACAAUACAUUAAUUCUGUGAUGCUUUGUCGCAGUAGUUGACUUAUUCUAGUCUUCACAAACAUGAUUCUCGGUCAUGACAAUGUUUCUUUAGGGCUUAAGCAUAUUUAUCAAUGUCAAUCAAUAUUUGUUUGUAUUGUGUUGAUAAACUUGUAGCAGACAUUGCCCCACUGGGGGCAAAUAUGUGAGCAGCGCAUGUGAUGUUGAACGUGUAGUGUUUUAUGACGCAAAUAUUUGUUUUAAUAUAAAGUAAGGAUGCCUAAUACGAAUUGAGUUUUUCUAGCACAGAUGACUUUAAAGUCUCUUCUGAUCAUCGUCAUUGCUUCUGCUGUGUGGUUACGGCCGUAAAGAAUAUUAUAACCAUAGGUGGUAAUUCAUCU